GAAUAUUGGACAAUGGGCGAAAGCCUGAUCCAGCCAUGCCGCGUGGAUGAAGAAGGCCCUAGGGUUGUAAAGUCCUUUCGAUGGUGAAGAUAAUGACGGUAACCAUACAAGAAGCCCCGGCUAAUUUCGUGCCAGCAGCCGCGGUAAUACGAAAGGGGCUAGCGUUGUUCGGAAUUACUGGGCGUAAAGCGCACGUAGGCGGCAAUGUAAGUUGGGGGUGAAAUCCCGGGGCUCAACCCCGGAACUGCCUUCAAAACUACAUAGCUUGAGGAUGUGAGAGGAUAGUGGAAUUCCGAGUGUAGAGGUGAAAUUCGUAGAUAUUCGGAAGAACACCGGUGGCGAAGGCGACUGUCUGGCACAUUUCUGACGCUGAGGUGCGAAAGCGUGGGGAGCAGACAGG
rnacentral:rRNA from 1 species